rnacentral:rRNA from 1 species
GACGAACGCUGGCGGCGUGCUUAACACAUGCAAGUCGAACGGAAAGGCCCUGCUUUUGUGGGGUGCUCGAGUGGCGAACGUGUGAGUAACACGUGAGUAACCUUCCUUUGACUUUGGGAUAACUUCAGGAAACUGGUGCUAAUACCUGAUUGGAGCUCCUGCUGCAUGGUGGGGUUUGGAAAGUUUCGGCGGUUGGGGAUGGACUGGCGGCUUAUCAGCUUGUUGGUGGGGUAGUGGCUUACCAAGGCUUAGAUGGAUAGCCGGCAUGAGAGGGUGAACGGGGACAUGGGGACUGAGAGACGGACCAGACGCCUACGGGAGGCAGCAGUGGGGAAUAUGGCACAAUGGGCGGAAGCGUGAUGAAGAAGCGCCGCGAGCGGGAUGAAGGCCUUGGGGGGGUAAACCGCUGUAGCCUGUGACGAAGCGGGAGUGACGGUAAUAGGUAAAGAAGCACCGGCUAACUACGUG